UUGCAGCAUUGCUGUCAGUAUGGUUCAUUUAGUAGCUCUUUUGCCUAAGGUCCAGAAGGUUGAAGGUAGGAACAGCUUCCACACGUAGAUGUAUGGCUCCAACACUGACACCACUUGGUGGAAGGGACAGCUGCUGGAGGUGGCAGCAGGAUGCUCAGAGGGGCCACUUUGGGAGAUCUUCCCAGAAGCUGGAAACCCCUGGCUGGACGGGAGAAGAGCAGGGUGUCUCUGAUCCGUGCAUCUCUGCCCAGCCUCCAGCCUGCAUGAGGAGCCUUGCUAGUAUGGUGUGAAAGAAGAGAAACUCUUGGGAUUCCAGGGGGAAGCUGUUCCUGGCCUGCACUCCCUGGCCCAUGCUGAAUAUAAUAUGGUCUUUGUGUGAUGCCUGCCUUGCUAGCAUCAAGUACAAUGAACUCCAGGAUGUUUUGAGCCCUAAAAAUACCACACAAAGCUCAGAUAGCUUAUGCUUGUUGAAAACAAAGCAUCAAAACAUUAAUUGCUCUCAUUGAGACCAAUGAUCUUGCUCUGGCUUUAGGGACUGCUCCAUUCCAAGUUCUUAGAAGCACACAAAGGCUCCUGGUUGGUUCCUCCUCAUCAACAGGGUACAGACAUUUCCAUUAAUGAACAUAAGCCACCAGCUGAGAAAGGUCAGCAGCCGUAGGUAAUAAGCUGUAGGAGUGUUUGCUUGCUUAUCUUUCUGUCUCUAGCAUUCAGGUGUUUGCAACAUGCUUGCAGCAGGUACUGCUGAAGAUGGGAUGUGAUUGCUAUAUAGCCACCCAGCCAUGCGUGGGAGUGCCUACCAAUAUAUUUGUUCAUUCAAGUUUUCGGGCUCCUGAAGUGGUAGUGAAAACUGUACUGUGGCCAGAGGUUUUUUCCUUCUUUCUCCUUCCCUUGUACCUCAGAGUGGGGGCUACUCUGCAGGAAAAGCCCAAGGAAGCAUGGACAUUUGAACCCAGAAGGAGGGAGAUGUCUACGCUUGAAGUGUGCUUAGUCACCUAAAGCAGAUGGUGUUGUUUCUGGUUCCUGAUGGGAUGACUUUCUGCUCCCAAAAGCCUUUCAAGUUUCACCAGGCAGACAUGUUUGAAAGAAUGUCAGAUGAGCACACAUCUGUCCAAGAUUCUUUACCAAACAGCGACAUGAGUACAAUUAAAUGAACAAAAGAAGAGUUUGCAAUUACAGCUGGAGAAAGUGCAUGGCUUGCUUUCAAAGAUCUGCUUGAAUACUGUUCUCGUAGAUUGCACUCAAGUCAGUACAGUUUUCUCCUUCUAUGAAAUCUGACUUUCUUCUCAUUGCAUUUUGAAAAACACUGGAAAAAAUCAGUAUUGUAAACUUUAUUAAAACUAGAGUUAUUGAUC
rnacentral:lncRNA from 1 species